AGGUCUUGACAUCGGCAUGACCGGCUUAGAGAUAAGCUUUUCCUUCGGGACAUGCCAGACAGGUGGUGCAUGGUUGUCGUCAGCUCGUGUCGUGAGAUGUUGGGUUAAGUCCCGCAACGAGCGCAACCCUUGACUUUAGUUGCCAGCAUUUUAAGAUGGGCACUCUAGAGUGACUGCCGGUGACAAACCGGAGGAAGGCGGGGAUGACGUCAAAUCAUCAUGCCCCUUAUGACCUGGGCUACACACGUACUACAAUGGCCGGUACAGAGGGCUGCGAAGCCGCGAGGUGGAGCCAAUCCCAGAAAGCCGGUCUCAGUUCGGAUUGCAGGCUGCAACUCGCCUGCAUGAAGUCGGAAUUGCUAGUAAUCGCGGAUCAGCAUGCCGCGGUGAAUACGUUCCCGGGUC
rnacentral:rRNA from 1 species